rnacentral:pre_miRNA from 1 species
AUUGCGAUUGCUGGAUCAGAUAGUAAGAGUAUGUUUAGUUUUCUAAGAAACUGCCAAACUGUCUUCUAAAGUGGCUGUACCAUUUGCAUUUCCACCAGCAAU